AGCUGAGCAUCUGAAGACCGCCAACCAGCAGAAGGAGAGCAUGGAGCAGUUCAUCAUCAGCCAGCUAACCAGAACACAUGAUGUUUUAAAGAAGGCAAGCACUAACUUAGAGGAACCAUGCAAGAAGCGCAGCCACCAGAAGUCCUUAAAACAGCAGGAAACGUGGGCCUGUCCCCCUUUUGUGCAGCUACCUAUCUGCUGAGGAGCUUCUGGGCCUCAUUCCUCCAAGUCCACGGGAGGGUCCAGAAGAGGGGGUCAGAGAUGUAUCCUGGUGGAGCUGGGAGAAAACCAGAAAGCCUU